CAGGAUCUGGUUGGGUCUGGUUGGGUGCACAGGCCAUCACCCCUGGGAAAGAGAAGUAUCAGCCCAAGAACGAUGUGGGAGCUAUGCCAUCCAUCUCCCUAGAAACCUGGGGCAGGGCUGGUCCAGCUAAUGCUGCCUGUUCUCCAUCCUCACCAGGGCUGUCCCUUUCUCUCAGUUUCCAGAGCCUAGAUCUGGGAUCCCACAGCAGGCCCCACGGAAGCCAUGACCAUACUGAACAUACUUUUUGACUUCUCCUGUCCUAUAUCCCGCCAUUCCAGGUCUUCUUAAGUGAGGAGACGUCUCCAGCCUUGCUUCAAUACAUGCUUUCCAACUUCUGCACCUGUUCCACGGUUCCGUCCGCCUGAAGGCUCUCUCACUCUCCUCCAGAAAGACUUCCAUCUCCCUGCAGGAAAGCCAGCUAUGUCAAUGUGGACACUCGAGCAGUCCUCUGGAGUGAGCCACAUGGUGAAAAAUGGAGUCCUCCUGCCACCAGCCAAAAGGGACUUGCCAACCUUGUGACUGAGCCGGCCCAGACACUCCAGCCCCAGUUAAACCUUUGGAAGACUGUGGCCUCACCAACAUCUUGACUGCAACUUCGUGAGAGACCCAGAGCUAGACCCAUGCAACUAAGCUGCUCCCCAAUUCCUGGCCCACAGACACUGGGAGAGAUAAUACAUGUUUAUUUCUGUUUGAAGCUGCUAAGUUUUGGGUAAUUUGUUUUGCAGCAAUAGGAAUCAGGACACUUUGCCUGCUCAGAGGGAGAGAGGGAAAGAGACAGAGACACAAACACAGAGAGACAGUGACAUGGAGAAGUGCGCCGUGGGCUCACAGUACCAUGUGAAGGACUGGGGCUGCCCUUCUGUAAAGUGAAGGCAGUGGAGAAGUGAAGUGAAGUGUAAGUGAAGAGGAAAGUGAAGGAUGGUAGAGAGCACCCUUGCCCUUGCAGCCUGGCUGUGUUUGGCUUGGGGCUGCUGGUCUCCGACCCUGGCUGGGCUGGUGACACAGCCUAAGGUACCUGGGGGUGGAAUCUGGCACCCCUGAGCAGACCCCUCCCUGGCUCUUGUCCCCCUGUGCUGACACUCUCUGUCCCAGGCUCUCUCUGCCUCCAGACCAGAGCUCCUCCAGGGAAAAGGUGGAGUCUUGUUCGUCUGUGUCCCUCACCUAGCAUAAGGCCUGCCAGAGCAGGCUGGGCGAGGUGAACACAGAAGGUCCUCUGGCCCUGGUACUGGAGAGGCAUCAUCACUGGGGACAGAGUGAGAACCAGGAUGAUGCUGUUUGUUACUGGAGGAGCUCCCAUUGGAUGGAGGAGCCAACAACGACAGGCCAGUGUGAUCAGGGAGAUUGGGACACACAGUGCCGUGGGGGCCCAGAGGAGCAGGGAGGAUCUCUGUGGAGGAGGCGAGAAGUCUUCCCAGAGGAGGAGGCAUUUGAGAAAUUAACCAGUUUAUGUGCCCUGAAAAAUUCCCACUUCCACCCUCUGGGUUCGCAUGCUGGCUCAGUCACUUACUAGCUGUGUGACCUCUCUGCUGCUUAGCUUACUCAUCUGUAAAAUGGGAUAAACACAAAACCUGCCUGAUGGAGAUGUCGUAAGGAUCAAAGAGGAAAAAGAAUUUAAAACAUUUAGAAUGGUGCCUGACCCCCAGCAAGUAUACAAUAAAUAUUGGCUAU
rnacentral:lncRNA from 1 species